rnacentral:rRNA from 1 species
UGAACGCUGGCGGCAGGCCUAACCAUGCAAGUCGAGCGGAUGAAGGGACGCUUGCUCCUGGAUUCAGCGGCGGACGGGUGAGUAAUGCCUAGGAAUCUGCCUGGUAGUGGGGGAUAACGUCCGGAAACGGGCGCUAAUACCGCAUACGUCCUGAGGGAGAAAGUGGGGGAUCUUCGGACCUCACGCUAUCAGAUGAGCCUAAGGUCGGAUUAGCUAAGUUGGUGGGGUAAAGGCCUACCAAGGCGACGAUCCGUAACUGGUCUGAGAGGAUGAUCAAGUCACACUGGGAACUGAGACACGGUCCAGACUCCUACGGGAAGGCAGCAGUGGGGAAUAUUGGCGCAAUGGGCGAAAGCCUGAUCAAGCGCAUGCCGCGUGUGUUAAGAAGGUCUCCGGAUUGUAAAGCACUUAGUUGGGAAGAGGGCAAGUAAGUUAUACCUUGCUUAUUAUUGACGUUACAACAGAUAAGCACCGGCAACUUCUGCAAACGGGGGAAA